AGUGUGGAAGGGGGGUUCAGUAUUGCACAAGGAAUUUCCUGAAUUAAUAUUCAAAAUAUACAAACAUUUGAUUGGUUUCACAAGGAAUUGGUUACAAACUAACCCUAACACAACAUAGGUACAAUGCACGCAGACACACACCUAACACGACAUUAACAAGCACACACAACUAAGGGGAAGGGACUAGCUUCCCAUAAGGGCCAGUUAUCUUACAGUCCACAAUGGGUUUAUUUCCACAGAAAGCGAUUUCCUGAGUUCUAAAAGUAUUUCAUCAUCUCACAGAGUGGGGAAAAGAGAGAGCGAGAUAGAGAGGUACGGGGAGACGGAGGGAGGGAGAGAGAACAGAGAUGUUCAGAGGGACGGGGAGACGGAGGUAGAGAGAGGGAACAGAGAUGGUCAGAGGGACGGGGAGACGGAGGUAGAGAGAGGAAAUAGAGAUGGUCAGAGGGAUGGGGAGACGGAGGUAGAGAGAGGGAACAGAGGUGGUCAGAGGGAUGGGGAGACGGAGGUAGAGAGAGGGAACAGAGAUGGUCAGAGGGACGGGGAGACGGAGGUAGAGAGAGGGAACAGAGAUGGUCAGAGGGACGGGGAGAUGGAGGUAGAGAGAGGGAACAGAGGUGGUCAGAGGGAUGGGGAGACGGAGGUAGAGAGAGAGAACAGAGGUGGUCAGAGGGACGGGGAGACGGAGGUAGAGAGAGAGAACAGAGGUGGUCAGAGGGACGGGGAGACGGAGGUAGAGAGAGAGAACAGAGAUGGUCAGAUGGAGGUAGAGAGAGGGAACAGAGGUGGUCAGAGGGACGGGGAGAUGGAGGUAGAGAGAGGGAACAGAGGUGGUCAGAGGGAGAGGGAUGGGGAGACGGAGGUAGAGAGAGAGAACAGAGAUGGUCAGAGGGACGGGGAGACGGAGGUAGAGAGAGGGAACAGAGGUGGUCAGAGGGAUGGGGAGACGGAGGUAGAGAGAGGGAACAGAGGUGGUCAGAGGGACGGGGAGACGGAGGUAGAGAGAGGGAACAGAGGUGGUCAGAGGGAC